AACCAGACUAACACGACUCUUCCCUCUACCCACCCAGGUCCCUCAGUGACGGGUAAGUCAGUGAUCUGAGUGUGCUGUAGACAUGAUCAUUAUCUUAAUGUUCACUGGAGGUGGUUAAUAACAUAUCUUACAGUAGGUGAGUCUUCUUAUAACUGUGUGUGUGUGUGUGUGUGUGUGUGUGUGUGUGUGUUUUCUCUCUUUCAGUAAUAGUUAUUUAUGUGUUAUUAUGCCUGACUGUGUGUCUUUGUGUCGCUGUGGGGACGUUCUGCAUCAGAAGGAAAAAGAGGAAUACACACACUCCAGUGAGUAAAAAGAAAGAGCCUGAUGAUUUGGUGUACGUCCAGAUGACCACUGGUAGCAACGGCAGAGGACGAAGAUCAGACAUUCAAGGUCAGAAUACACAUAUCAGCACACACACACCCCCUGCACCUGCUUCAUAACUACAUCUGCUUUGUGUCUGUAUGGUCAUCAGGUACAAGAGUGGAAACACAGGAUGUGGUGUAUUCUGGCAUUGCCUUGGCAGAGCAGCAGGCAUAAAAGCAGGAAGUCACCAGCAGCUGAGGUGUAUGAGUCGGAGUAUGCUAAGGUGUCUGCCUUCAGUAAGCGACAGGGCCCAACUGAGAGUCACAGGCCAGAGGAGUCGGUUGAGUACGGGGAAGUGAGAGUCCACACACCACCCUGACCCACAGCAGGC
rnacentral:lncRNA from 1 species